rnacentral:rRNA from 1 species
AUUGAACGCUGGCGGCAUGCCUUACACAUGCAAGUCGAACGCGAAAGAGGGGCAACCCUUGAGUAGAGUGGCGAACGGGUGAGUAACGCAUCGGAACGUAUCCAGUAGUGGGGGAUAACCCAUCGAAAGAUGGGCUAAUACCGCAUACGCCCCGAGGGGGAAAGUGGGGGAUCCGCAAGGACCUCACGUUAUUGGAGCGGCCGAUGUCCGAUUAGCUAGUUGGCGGGGUAAGAGCCCACCAAGGCGACGAUCGGUAGCUGGUCUGAGAGGAUGAUCAGCCACACUGGGACUGAGACACGGCCCAGACUCCUACGGGAGGCAGCAGUGGGGAAUUUUGGACAAUGGGGGCAACCCUGAUCCAGCCAUGCCGCGUGAGUGAAGAAGGCCUUCGGGUUGUAAAGCUCUUUCGGCCGGAACGAAAUCGCAUCCUUUAAUACGGGGUGUGGAUGACGGUACCGGAAGAAGAAGCACCGGCUAACUACGUGCCAGCAGCCGCGGUAAUACGUAGGGUGCGAGCGUUAAUCGGAAUUACUGGGCGUAAAGCGUGCGCAGGCGGUUCGCUAAGACAGGUGUGAAAUCCCCGGGCUUAACCUGGGAAUGGCGCUUGUGACUGGCGGGCUGGAGUACGGCAGAGGGAGGUGGAAUUCCACGUGUAGCAGUGAAAUGCGUAGAGAUGUGGAGGAACACCGAUGGCGAAGGCAGCCUCCUGGGCCAGUACUGACGCUCAUGCA